UGCGGCAAUGACUUCAGAGAAGGUGGGAAUUUUCGGGUUUGGCAACACCCACGUCUAUAAAAAAGGGCCACGCGAGUUCAGAGAUAGCGUGCACUGCCCAUAAGAUGUCCAUAAUGGUUUAGGUUUAAUGGUGUGUGUUUGAUGUGCGAAAAUAACAGCGAAGAUCCAGGCUUGUAGGCCUCUUAUUAUGAAUACUCAAUAUUACUGUAAUUCCUUUUUAAUGAGGGAAUUAAAUUGAAACUCAACAAUUGAAAGCCAGAUGGCAAAUAAUGUUGAAAUUAUUACACAACCCCCACCAAGAACUAAAAAUACUAAUAAUGAAAGCAAUGAUACUGGGGUCAUGGGGUCCUGGGUUCGAGUAUUAGCAUCUGUGUAGUGUGUGUAAAUUUAGUUUAUUAUCGCUCUUCUCAAUAGGAAAGGUCUUUGGAAAAACAAAAUUGAAAGCUAAUAUUAAACUCCAUCAAGCGAUAUUUGUUAUACAAUCAAUAUUGGAGAAAGAAUGAACCAAGUCUAGGACCUCAGAUGCAAGGGCAAAUAUUUGUUAAGCAAUAGAACUACAAACCUCUUAAAAAUGAGUGAUUUUUAAACGAUAGAGAACAAGUGAAUUCAAAUUCGACACUUCCAGCCCUGAAAAGUGGAUUAGUAAAGAGAGGAAGGUUUAAUUAAUUAUAAUUGAAAUACUUUGUCCUAACUAGUCAAGACUUCUU
rnacentral:lncRNA from 1 species